rnacentral:rRNA from 1 species
ACUAAUACUAGCCCUUAUAUUUAUUAAUUAAAUUAUUUUAUUAUAUAAAUUAAAUCAUUUAACUUAUUAAAAGUAUUGGAGAAAGAAAUUAUAAGACAGGAGCAAUAGAGUAAGUACCGCAAGGGAAAGAUGAAAGAACAAUUAAAAGUACAAAAAAGCAAAGAUUAUACCUUGUACCUUUUGCAUAAUGAAUUAACUAGAAAAAAAUUGACUAAAAGAAUUUAAGCCAAAUACCCCGAAACCAAACGAGCUACCUAAGAACAAUUUUAUGAAUCAACUCGUCUAUGUUGCAAAAUAGUGAGAAGAUUCUUAGGUAGAGGUGAAAAGCCUAACGAGCUUGGUGAUAGCUGGUUACCCAAAAAAUGAAUUUCAGUUCAACUUUAAACUUACUAAAAGAACACCAAAUCCACACGUAAGUUUAAAAUAUAGCCAAAAGAGGGACAGCUCUUUAGGAAAGGAAACAACCUUUAAUAGUGAAUAAACAUUAAAUAUUUAUAAAACCAUUGUAGGCCUAAAAGCAGCCACCAAUAGAGAAAGCGUUCAAGCUCAACAUUAAUUUUUCUCUAAUUCCAUAAAAAAAUAAUCAAUUCCUAUUAUAAAAAUUGGGUUAAUCUAUUCAUAUAUAGAUGAGAUACUGUUAAUAUGAGUAACAAGAAUACUAUUCUCCAAGCACAAGUGUAUAACAACUCGGAUGUCCAUUGUUAGUUAUCAAGUCAUAGAUGAAAACUACAAAUUAAACUUUCUAAAUACUAUUUGUUAGCCCAACACAGGAGUGCUCUAAGGAAAGAUUAAAAGAAAUAAAAGGAACUCGGCAAACAAGAACCCCGCCUGUUUACCAAAAACAUCACCUCUAGCAUAAAAAGUAUUAGAGGCAUUGCCUGCCCAGUGACUAGAGUUCAACGGCCGCGGUAUCCUGACCGUGCAAAGGUAGCAUAAUCACUUGUUCCUUAAUUAGGGACUAGUAUGAAUGGCUAGACGAGGGUUCAACUGUCUCUUAUUUCCAAUCAGUGAAAUUGACCUUUCAGUGAAGAGACUGAAAUAAAUUAAUAAGACGAGAAGACCCUAUGGAGCUUUAAUUUGUCAGUUUAAUUAUUACUAUUUAUUAACCUAAUGGUUUAUAUAUCAAUAAUCUAAACUUAAAAUUUCGGUUGGGGUGACCUCGGAGAAAAAAGAAUCCUCCGAAUGAUUAUAACAUAGACCUACAAGUCAAAGUAAACAACCUUAUCUUAUUGAUCCAAUUCUUUUUUUGAUCAACGGACCAAGUUACCCUAGGGAUAACAGCGCAAUCCUAUUUAAGAGUUCAUAUCGACAAUUAGGGUUUACGACCUCGAUGUUGGAUCAGGACAUCCCAAUGGUGCAGAAGCUAUUAAUGGUUUCGUUUGUUCAACGAUUAAAGUCCUACGUGAUCUGAGUUCAGACCGGAGUAAUCCAGGUCGGUUUCUAUCUAUUAACAAUUUCUCCCAGUACGAAAGGACAAGAGAAAUGGGGCCACCUUAUAAAUAAGCGCCCCAAACUCAAUUUAUGAAAAAAAUCUAAAUAAAGUAAGUACGUAUAUUUAUAGCCUAGACAAGGCA